AUUGAACGCUGGCGGCAGGCCUAACACAUGCAAGUCGAGCGGAGCGGCGGAAGGGGGAGUAAUGCCUAGGAAUCUGCCUGGUAGUGGGGGAUAACGUCCGGAAACGGGCGCUAAUACCGCAUACUAUCAGAUGAGCCUAGGUCGGAUUAGCUAGUUGGUGGGGGAAAGGCCUACCAAGGCGACGAUCCGUAACUGGUCUGAGAGGAUGAUCAGUCACACUGGAACUGAGGCACGGUCCAGACUCCUACGGGAGUCAGCAGGGGGGAAUAUUGGACCAUGGGCGAAAGCCUGAUCCAGCCAUGCCGCGUGUGUGAGGAAGGUCUUCGGAUUGUAAAGCUCUUUAAGUUGGGAGGCGUUACCUACAGAAUAAGCACCGGCUAACUACGUGCCAGCAGCCGCGGUAAUUC
rnacentral:rRNA from 1 species